rnacentral:lncRNA from 1 species
UUUGGUCGUUCGUUGGGCGGUGCUGGUUUUUCGCUCGUCGACUGCGGCUCUUCCUCGGGCAGCGGAAGCGGCGCGGCGGUCGGAGAAGUGGCCUAAAACUUCGGCGUUGGGUGAAAGAAAAUGGCCCGAACCAAGCAGACUGCUCGUAAGUCCACCGGUGGGAAAGCCCCCCGCAAACAGCUGGCCACGAAAGCCGCCAGGAAAAGCGCUCCCUCUACCGGCGGGGUGAAGAAGCCUCAUCGCUACAGGUAGGUCGGGCGGGGGAACAAUGGCCCGGCGGUGGCCGGCUUUGUGCGGCAGCGUCCGCUCACUCCUCCCCUGCUCGCUGCAGGCCCGGGACCGUGGCGCUUCGAGAGAUUCGUCGUUAUCAGAAGUCGACCGAGCUGCUCAUCCGGAAGCUGCCCUUCCAGAGGUUGGUGAGGGAGAUCGCGCAGGAUUUCAAAACCGACCUGAGGUUUCAGAGCGCAGCCAUCGGUGCGCUGCAGGUAAGACAAAGGCCUGGAGCCGGGGGAGGGCUGGGCGGUUUCCGCUCCCCGAGUGGGAUUAAUAGUGCGGCUCUCGUCCUCAACAGGAGGCUAGCGAAGCGUACCUGGUGGGUCUGUUCGAAGAUACCAACCUGUGUGCCAUCCACGCUAAGAGAGUCACCAUCAUGCCCAAAGACAUCCAGUUGGCUCGCCGGAUACGGGGAGAGAGAGCUUAAGUGAAGGCAGUUUUUAUGGCGUUUUGUAGUAAAUUCUGUAAAAUACUUUGGUUUAAUUUGUGACUUUUUUUGUAAGAAAUUGUUUAUAAUAUGUUGCAUUUGUACUUAAGUCAUUCCAUCUUUCACUCAGGAUGAAUGCGAA